UGUCUUUAUGGUGAAACAUUAAUCACAUUACUUUUUCAAGGUAAAAUUGAAUUACUAUUCUAAAGAUAA
rnacentral:tRNA from 1 species